GACGAACGCUGGCGGCGUGCUUAACACAUGCAAGUCGAGCGGUAGGCCCUUUUGGGGGUACACGAGCGGCGAACGGGUGAGUAACACGUGGGUGACCUGCCCUCAGCUCUGGGAUAAGCCUGGGAAACUGGGUCUAAUACUGGAUAUGACCUUUCCUCGCAUGGGGUUGGGUGGAAAGUUUUUCGGCUGGGGAUGGGCCCGCGGCCUAUCAGCUUGUUGGUGGGGUGAUGGCCUACCAAGGCGACGACGGGUAGCCGGCCUGAGAGGGCGACCGGCCACACUGGGACUGAGACACGGCCCAGACUCCUACGGGAGGCAGCGGUGGGGAAUAUUGCGCAAUGGGCGGAAGCCUGACGCAGCGACGCCGCGUGGGGGAUGACGGCC
rnacentral:rRNA from 1 species